rnacentral:tRNA from 1 species
AGGGAGGUUGGGGAGUCAGGUUACCCCGCUUGGUUUGGGACCAAGAGAACUCGCAGGUUCGAAUCCUGUUCUCCCUA